AAGUCGUAACAAGGUUUCCGUAGGUGAACCUGCGGAAGGAUCAUUAAUAGAUUGCUUGCCAGUCAAAAACUUACCCUGUGUGAACUGUUCCAUCGCCGUGGUGAGCUACCGGGGUGUUAACUUGUCAGUCACGGGAACGUGACUGUAAGAGAACACGUAGUCACCACUUUACCUUACUGAAUAUUACACUUACUGAAGUUGAACCAAAGUCUAGAAAACUUUUAGCAAUGGAUCUCUAGGCUCUU
rnacentral:misc_RNA from 1 species